CAUAUAUAUAUAUAUAUAUAUAUAUAUAUAUAUAUAUAUAUAUGAUUAUUGCACUAGAUUGAACGCCUAAAAAGUACAAUGCUGAUGAAUUGAGUUUGGAGAUUCGUGUAAACGUUUGAGGGAUGAUGAAGAUAUGGAGUUGGCUACGAUAGUUGCGGGUUUUAUUGUGGAAGUAGCAGCGGCAUUAUGUGGUGGUUGCGUGGAUAUUUCCGAGCAACGUAGGAGAUUGGUGGGACAGACAAGUUUGCCAAAGUUAUUGAUUUUCUUCGCCGCCAACUUUGCAUGGAGACAUUGGUAGAUAGUAGAUGCUCAACAAUUUUUUUUCUUUUUAGUUGAAUAAUUCUCUGGACUUGGAUUAAUUGCUCCUUUUGUUUUUCCUUCUUCCAGUUUGUGUAUAUUAGUAGUACUUUCUCUCCUAACUCGGAUGAACUGGUGAAUGAUCUAUAUAACGUAAGUUAUGUUGGCUAAUUAUAUAUAUGUAUAUAAUGUAAAUUAUGUUGGCUAGUUUUAUA